rnacentral:rRNA from 1 species
GACGAACGCUGGCGGCGUGCUUAACACAUGCAAGUCGAACGGAAAGGCCCUGCUUUUGUGGGGUGCUCGAGUGGCGAACGGGUGAGUAACACGUGAGUAACCUGCCCUUGACUUUGGGAUAACUUCAGGAAACUGGGGCUAAUACCGGAUAGGAGCUCCUGCUGCAUGGUGGGGGUUGGAAAGUUUCGGCGGCUGGGGAUGGACUCGCGGCUUAUCAGCUUGUUGGUGGGGUAGUGGCUUACCAAGGCUUUGACGGGUAGCCGGCCUGAGAGGGUGACCGGCCACAUUGGGGCUGAGAUACGGCCCAGACUCCUACGGGAGGCAGCAGUGGGGAAUAUUGCACAAUGGGCGGAAGCCUGAUGCAGCAACGCCGCGUGCGGGAUGACGGCCUUCGGGUUGUAAACCGCUUUCGCCUGUGACGAAGCGUGAGUGACGGUAAUGGGUAAAGAAGCACCGGCUAACUACGUG